rnacentral:lncRNA from 1 species
AAUCCCUGUUAUUUCACCAUAAGACCUACAACAAAUAAUAAAAUAAACUCUGAAGUGGUAACGUGGAAAGUCUCAAGUUUAUUAUAUAUGUUAUUUUGGAAUAUUAAUUCAUUCAUGAAAUGCAAAAUAAGAAAUCCUAGAACUUGAAGACCGCCAUGAGAGACAAAACGAGCGAGGCACCGAUCAUGAUGGCGGAGCAAGGCACGGAGUCUGCGGCUCCUGCUUCAGGCGACGGUGCCGGAGACGAGGCGGGGGAUAAUUCUUGAGCGGAGGCGGCGGAGAAGAGAGCGAGGAGGAGGAAAAGAGCGAAGGCCUUGAAUGUUGGUGCCAUAGCGAAUUAAGGGGGUGCAGAAAGUAAAGUAGAGAGAAAAUGCACGUUCAAUGGAGAAGAUAAAGAAGAAGGGGCAUUAAUUUAUAGUGGAGAAAACGCGGACAGUUGGCAGAAGAUGGAAGGCGCGUUCUUGUUUGGAGAAACCAUUUGCGUGAAAACUCCGACAACACCAGUAAACGUUAAUAUUCCCCUGGUAUCAACUAUCCACUUUUUCAUUACUAUUUCUUUAUUUUCAUUUUAAUUAGGAAAAAAAUCAC